rnacentral:rRNA from 1 species
CACGCCGUAAACGAUGAGCACUAGGUGUCGGGGUCGCAAGACUUCGGUGCCGCAGUUAACGCAUUAAGUGCUCCGCCUGGGGAGUACGCACGCAAGUGUGAAACUCAAAGGAAUUGACGGGGACCCGCACAAGCAGCGGAGCAUGUGGUUUAAUUCGAAGCAACGCGAAGAACCUUACCAGGACUUGACAUCCCUCUGACAGUCCCUUAACCGGGAUCUCCUUCGGGCAGAGGUGACAGGUGG